CCCCAGACUCCUACGGGAGGCAGCAGUGGGGAAUAUUGCACAAUGGGGGGAACCCUGAUGCAGCGACGCCGCGUGAGUGAAGAAGAAUUUCGGUACGUAAAGCUCUAUCAGCAGGGAAGAAAAAAGGACGGUACCUGAAGAAGAAGCCCCGGCUAACUACGUGCCAGCAGCCGCGGUAAUACGUAGGGGGCAAGCGUUAUCCGGAUUUACUGGGUGUAAAGGGGGCGCAGACGGCGAUGCAAGCCAGGAGUGAAAGCCCGGGGCCCAACCCCGGGACUGCUCUUGGAACUGCGUGGCUGGAGUGCAGGAGGGGCAGGCGGAAUUCCUGGUGUAGCGGUGAAAUGCGUAGAUAUCAGGAGGAACACCGGUGGCGAAGGCGGCCUGCUGGACUGCAACUGACGUUGAGGCCCGAAAGCGUGGGGAGCAAACAGGAUUAGAUACCCUGGUACU
rnacentral:rRNA from 1 species